GAAGAGACUUAAUUGUUUAAUGUAAAUAUAAAUUUGUAACAUACCAGUUUUUUUUUUCAUAGUAGUUUUAUUGUAGACCACUAGGUGGCAGUGGUAUAAAGAAUAAAGACUUGCGUCCCUGGGUGGGCUCGAACCACCAACCUUUCGGUUAACAGCCGAACGCGCUAACCGAUUGCGCCACAGAGACGAAGUUGUGCACCAUCAUGACGUCAUUGCUUUUUAUGCGUUAUGCUACAGCUCAGACAUUAAGAAGGGAAAAACAUUGGGGGCUCGAACCCAUGCGCGCUCUGACCCGCUCUGCGAAAUAGUUGAGCUUAGCUUCCCUUAACUUUUCCCAUUCAUUCUCUAUGGUAGUGCUUAACACUACGGAUGCAAUAUAUUUGUGGCCACGCGUAGAUUUCGUGGCGCUGUUUCGCCUUUUCCGUGACAGGGAUUCACAGCGGAUAACUAUUAACUAUUGCGUAAUUGAUUUGUUAUUUGUCGCAAGAAGUCUUCAGAUUUUAGCUCAAGAAUGUUUUUUUUUAUUAUUAUUUAUUUUAUUAUUAUUUUUUAACCUCUCACCAAGCAGGAAUGUUCAGAUGAUGCACAGAGCAGGUCACCCCAAAGACUGUCUUAUUCCACCAUAACAUCACACCAGGCACUGCGGUGUGAGUCCUGCGGGACUGCCAUCCUCCAGCGUCACUGGGGUCAGAGUAUCCCUUGCCUCCACCUCCAGCCUCUGAGGCCCAGACUCCACCUCGGCCCGUAGACCCAGCGGCUCCACCUAGGCUCCUAGCUCCCUCGCUUCCAGCGUCACCUGUCAAUUCAUCAGCUCUGCCUUGGUCGGGCGUUGACCCACCGUCACCUCUGGACUCCUCUGGCUGCACCUUGUCGCUCUGCCCCACUGGCUCCUUAGGGCUCCUUCCUCCCGCCAGCUCCACCUUGCUCCUCAGUCUCUCUGGGUCUGCCACAGAUCUCCGCCUCGGUCACCAGAGCCCUCAGCUCCACCCUGACCUCGGCAUCCCCUUGGCACGUUGUCGCGCCGUCUCUGCUUUGGGCUCCUCCUCCCUGGCUCCUCCCUCCAUUGGCUCCUCCUUCCUUUGGCGCCCUCCUGGUCUCUGUCUACCUCCCAAGUUCCCACCCACGCCUCCCUCUGUUACUACAGUGUGAGGACGCACCUUUCAGGAGGGGGCAUUAUGUCAGGACUAUGGACUAUUAUGUGUGUGUUUUUUGCCCCUGUAACCCAGUUUCUGUCUCCCAUUGAUUGUUGAUUUGAUCCCAGGUGUGUCUCCUUAGUUCCCUCGUUAUCCUGAGUUUAAAAGCCCUAGUCUACUGAGUUCAUGUUUGUAGGGUCUACUCGUUGUCUACGUGUGUCUUCCAAUCUCCUUGUGUGGAUUAUUCUUUUGUGAUUCCUGGAUUAAAGACUAUAAAUGUUUCCCUCAUGCUCUGUACUACAGCGUAGUGUGACACAUACGUAAUUAUUUAAUGUAAAACACAUUUGUCUUGUUUUUUUUUCUGUGUUCUCCAUAUCUUUACAUUUUAUUAUAUGUUGUUGUUGUUGUU
ensembl:lncRNA